AGAGUUUGAUCAUGGCUCAGAUUGAACGCUGGCGGCAGGCCUAACACAUGCAAGUCGAACGGUAACAGGAAGCAGCUUGCUGCUUUGCUGACGAGUGGCGGACGGGUGAGUAAUGUCUGGGAAACUGCCUGAUGGAGGGGGAUAACUACUGGAAACGGUAGCUAAUACCGCAUAACGUCGCAAGACCAAAGAGGGGGACCUUAGGGCCUCUUGCCAUCGGAUGUGCCCAGAUGGGAUUAGCUAGUAGGUGGGGUAACGGCUCACCUAGGCGACGAUCCCUAGCUGGUCUGAGAGGAUGACCAGCCACACUGGAACUGAGACACGGUCCAGACUCCUACGGGGGGCAGCAGUGGGGAAUAUUGCACAAUGGGCGCAAGCCUGAUGCAGCCAUGCCGCGUGUAUGAAGAAGGCCUUCGGGUUGUAAAGUACUUUCAGCGGGGAGGAAGGGAGUAAAGUUAAUACCUUUGCUCAUUGACGUUACCCGCAGAAGAAGCACCGGCUAACUCCGUGCCAGCAGCCGCGGUAAUACGGAGGGUGCAAGCGUUAAUCGGAAUUACUGGGCGUAAAGCGCACGCAGGCGGUUUGUUAAGUCAGAUGUGAAAUCCCCGGGCUCAACCUGGGAACUGCAUCUGAUACUGGCAAGCUUGAGUCUCGUAGAGGGGGGUAGAAUUCCAGGUGUAGCGGUGAAAUGCGUAGAGAUCUGGAGGAAUACCGGUGGCGAAGGCGGCCCCCUGGACGAAGACUGACGCUCAGGUGCGAAAGCGUGGGGAGCAAACAGGAUAGAUACCCUGGUAGUCCAC
rnacentral:rRNA from 1 species